CCAUUAUACGUUUGAAAAUAUCCGAUUUUACCCCUAUUUUUCUUUUCUUUCUAAAAUAUCCUCCACCGUUAUUGCAAAAUACCUCUAUAGUUAUCCCCUGUUAAGUUAACUUGGGUUAAAUGUGAGUUAAAUAUCUAUCACAGUUAAAAAAAAUUAAAAUGCCAAUUUUGUCCUUAACUUAAGGGCAAAUAAAAAAUGUUGGUAACGGUAGAGGGGUAUAUUUGAAAAGACCAAAAGUCAAAAUAUUUUUUGUACUCCUGACUUGAGGACAAAUAAGAAAAGUCGGUGGUUGUGAAAUGAUAUAUUUGAAAUGGCAAAAUAAUAAUUUUAUAUAGAUAACAGAGUUUAUUAACAGAUUUUAACUCUAGGGGUAUAUUUAAAAUAGGUUGGAACGUAAAAAGGGUAUUUUCAAUAUUAACCUUCUAAGAAGGGUAAAUCAAAAAGUCGGAAGCUUUUCAAGGAUAUAUAAGCAAUUGCCCCUUUUGUAUAUAUGUGUAGAGAGAGAAAGAGAGAAUAUAUAUAGAGAGAGAGUCCGACUAUAUUGCUUUUGGAAGCACCACUCAUGUGAUGCUUCCAGUUUUUUAAUCCUUGGAUUAAACUCUUUGAUCAUUUUAAGUCCUUGGAUUAAUACUAUUAUCUUAGAGGGAGCUGUAAAUUCUAGAAGGAUUGCCCAACCCUAGUGAGAACUACUAUUAUCCCAAUCAUAACAUUUUUAAUUAAAUGGUCAAAAAGUCAGAAAAUACUUUUUUUUCUUUUUUGAGAAAUAGGUAGCACGCUACCCGCUUCGUUUAUUUCAUUUUGAAAUAAACUUAGCUGGAAAUGUGAAUCAACUAGGAUUCGAACUUGGGUCUCGGGUACCAACCACCAAGCCCUUUGCCACUUGCUCUAGGGACGGUCGGUAAAAGUCAGAAAAUACUAAUUACUAUAUACUUUCGAAAGUAUAGUACUUGGCUCUACUAUAUAUAUAUAUAUAUAUAGAGAGAGAGAGAGAGAGAGAGAGAGAGAGUGCCUCUCUACGCUUUCGAAAGUACAAAGACCUUCAUACUUGUAAAUUAUUUUUAAUAAUAGAAUAUCAGAAUCGGCGAUCGGCUUCAUAAGGAAUGAUAUAUGUUAUUAGAACUAUUUAGAAAUUAAAUUUUAUAAUUUUUUGUUAUCAUUUAUCAUGUGAUCAAAGGAUCUAAAAUAUAAUUAUUUUAAUAAUUGAUGUGACAUGUCUAUAAAUUUAAUAGUAUAGAGAGUGAUAAAUAAGAGAUAAAAAUGAAGCUAGGUGAGAUUGCGGUGCAUAUACGGCGAAGGCGGUGCAGGGUGCAGGCACUAACUUAAUGAAGGAGAGAGCGAAAGAGAUGACGCGAAAAGGGCCGCCAGGGGACUAAGAUAUUGCUGCCACAUGUUCGUGGGCCCACCUCGGUGUUAGUUGGAGCACAUUGAUUUCCUAAAAGCAGGGGUGCCGGCUACUCUCUCUCUCUCUCUCUCUCUCUCUUCACUGUGGUACCGCUGAUGGAGGGAGACGUGGAACGGGUUCCAUGUAUCUGGGUUUUGUGUUGGAGCACAAAAAGAUGAUCAGGUCCUACAGUGACUAGGCAUUGUACAGACCCAUCCCUAUUUGUUGGAUGAAAAAUACUUAUUACCGUUGGUGUGGAGACACUACUUUACAAUCGUCAUUUUCAGAGGUGUUUCAGCUAUGACCCAUAAAAAUCUGACAAUCAAUGAGUGCUGGGGGGACAACGGAUGGAACUGGCGUAAGAUAUUGGGAUGCGGCACCAAUAUUGAUUACGGAUUAAAUACUACGAUUUCAUUACUUAUGGCGCGGGUGUCAAAUUUCAAAACUGAGAAGGGCCCUGACAGUGUGCACUGGCGUUGGACUCCUGACGGACUUUUUUCAAUCAAAUCAACCUACUCCUUGUUGUGUGACGGGGGUACAAGGGACGUUCGCGCCAAAAAGAUUUGAAAACUUCGUAUCCCUCUCAAAGUGAAGGUGUUCUGCUGGCUCGUCCUCAAGAAAAGAACCCCUACUGUGGAGAAUCUACUAAAAAGAGGAUGGGUCGGCAACACAUACUGUGUGUUAUGCAGGACAGAAGAAGAGUCAGUUGAUCACUUGUUCACCCAGUGCGUGUUCUUCAGAUUUCUAGUGGUAAAGACCUUGGAAGAUGUCGAGCUAAGAGACUUGGGCGAGGAAGUGACUUUGGUCUGGGACAUAUGGAAAAACAGGAAGGGUUCAGCAAAUUCAAGCCCCGGGCUAAUCGGGCUAAUUGCCUGUUGGUGGGUUGUUUGGGAAGCCAAAAACGGUGCGAUCUUCAGAUUGACCAGGCAAGAUCCCUUCAAUGAAAUUUACAAGAUUAAUCAACUAACAAGUCAGUGGGAGCAACUUCAUCCAUUAGCGGGAGACAAUUGUACUGGUUAACCUUUUAUAAAUUUAUACUCUUUUUUUUUCGUCCUCCUCGAGGCUUGCGAUGUCUCACUCAUGUAGCUUAGUUCACUUUUUUAAUGAAUGAAGCAGGUAGCGUGCUACCUUUCCCUCAAAAGAAAAGAAAAUACUUGUUACAUGUAAAAAUAAAGCUUACAUUUCUCUUAUUUAAGUGUUCAUAAGUUUUCAAAAACAUUUAGUUUAUUACAAAUGGCAAAGGGUUUGAUGGUUGGUAUCCGAGAUUCAAGUUCGAAUCCUUGUUGAUUUACAUUUUCAGCUAAGUUUAUUUUUGAAUGAAAUAAACGAAGUGGUAGCAUGCUACCUAUCUCUCUCAACAUUUAGUAUAUAUAUUUAUAAAAAAAAGUUGAUAAGGGACCGAAUGUAGCAUCAGUAAAGUAGAAUUUUUGCGUAGGGUACUGAAUCUUGUCACAUGGCAAACUAGAUAUUUGAUUUUUGUAAGAUACAUAUUAACAUCAGCCCAAUGACAGAAAUUAAAGAAAUUCAUCAUUGUCAAUUGUCACAUCCAACCGUAUAAAACCUAUGCCUAGAAGGUCAAAAUAUAAUUUCUACCAAAUGAGCCUCAAAUUAAAGCUUUUAACUUGGUACCUACUUAGAUGUCGGAACAAAUUACUUGUCGAAAACUUAUACAAAGUUUUCUUUCGUGAUUGCUAGGGGAGAAUUUAACUUUAACUUCUUGGAAGUCAUUGACAAUUAUGAUUUCGAGGGGGAAUAUGGAAUGCGUUUUUAGAUACUUGGAUAUACUCUUUUUGUACAUCUUUUUGUGAUGCAUUAAUAUUUCAUAUGACAUGAAUCUUUGAUGGGUGUGGUAACGUAAUUAUUGGUAUGUUUAAUUUGAGACCAGAUACUUUACACGAUAAGCAUGGUUUAUUUUAGAAUGAACUAUGUUUAGGGGGUCUUCAUACAUUUUUACUUUAUAAUCAAACUAAGGUUCCUUUUGGAAUUAUGGGAAAGGUGCAUUACAUGCUUGAGAAAGUGAAAAAGAAAAAUAAUAGAAAAAUAUGGUAGGAAAAUAGUUAUUUUAUAUUAACCAAUAUCACGUUACUUUUUUUUUAGAGAGAUAGAUAAUAUGCUACCCGCUUCGUUUAUUUUAUUUAAAAAUAAACAUAGCUGGAAAUGUGAAUCAACUAGAAUUCGAACUUCGGAACUCGGGCGCCAACUACCAAGCCCUUUGGCACUUGCGCUAGGGACGGUCGGUAAUAUCACGUUACUUAUAUUACAAUUAGUCAGUUAAGAUAUGAUUCUACAAUUCUUCAGAAAAACAAAAAAAACACUUCUUUAUAUAUUCUUUAAGUUACCUCCUUUUGGCUUCACAAUGUGCGGCGUUCCUAUAGAAAGGGAUGAUUCUUCCCAACUUGUAUGAAUUAAGCCUAAAAUUAUUUAACUGAUUAUUUUGUUGAGUUGCUAACUAGAAUUAGAUAAUAAGUGCUCCUUAAGUAGAAUUAAUUUAAAAAUUAUUAAUUAUUUUGUUUUUGAGAAAAAGGUAACAUGAAGAUACAAAAUAAGUAGGAUUCAAACUUAAAAUCUUAGGAACCAACCACUAAGUCCUUUGCCGCUUGCGCUAUUGAUAAUAUAAUUUUUUUUAUAUUAUCACUUUUAUAAUAAUAUUGAAGGAUAGUUGAAGCAAAAAUUUCAAAUUUAUUUUAUUCUGCUUUCGGGUUACAAAGAAAAGUGUAAAACCUUUUAUUUGCUAAGUAAUUGAUUGUUAUUUCAGUUAUACAAAAAAUACUUCAAAAGUACAACUAGUCAAAAAGCAAAACCGCUUUUUUUUUGUGAGUUUAUCAGCAGACUUCUAUUCAGUCAGAACUCUUUGUUUUUCUAAUUUAUUAUAACAUCCAAGAAGAUACGGGUUUGAGCUCCACUGAUAAAACACACCAACAAAAAUCAAACUUUCGAUCUCAGAAAUAACAACUCAGAUAAUAACAACCGACUUUAAACACUAAAUAGCUUAUAGGAGGCGGCAUGCUUAUUCGAAAACAAGGAUGAUACAUGGCAAUUGAUUUGGAUAGAGCUUGCUUGCUUGGAUUCAUGCAGAGGCCUGAGUGGUAGCUACAUCAUCAAUAGAUUUGUUUUAAAAAGAAAAAUAUAAAAAAUAUAAAAGAAAACAUGCAUCAUAAAUUCGUGUCCUUGACUAGGUACUCCUUUUCAUACCUGUGAUUUGAUUCUCUCUCUCUCUCUCUCUCUCUCUAUCUCUAUCUCUAUCUCUGUACUUAGAUCUCUCUCCCCCCCUAUUUUCCUGCAUAAAGCUGCUCUAUUCUGUUAUGUGGUAGCAGUAUUUAAUGAGGUGGCCAUUGGGUGUGAUCGCGCAACUUGUCACGUUUAAAUAGAGAAACUUGAGCUCGGAACAUAUGGUCGGUUUUGGGGCCACAUGGGGCUUCGUUUUUUCUGGUUGAGAAUGUAAUCAUAUAUAUAUAUAUAUAUAUAUAUAUAUAUAUAUAUAUAAUUGAGCUAGAAUAUUUUUAUAAGUAUCACUCCUUUGGUACUAUUAGGUUUUUAGCCCUUGGAUCUACUCCUUGAUUACUAAUAGCCCUUGGAUCAAACACUAUUCCACCUACCACCAACCACCACCAGCUACCACCAUCAUCCCAACCCUACAUUUCUCUAUCAAAGGAUUAAAAACUCACAAGCACCAUCCUCUUGAUGCUUUUAGAAGUAUUCUAGCUCAACUCUCUCUCUCUCUCUAUAUAUAUAUAUAGUUUUGCUAGAAUACUAUCGAUAGUAAACGAGCCGUUUGACUUACCUAUUUAUUUUCGAUGAUAAGCUUCCAAAUGAUGAUCGGCUUACGUUGAACAUGAUCUAUACAUUUGAAGUGUUUAGAAAUCAAAUUUCAAAUCUUUUCGACAUCAUUUGCCUAAUGAUCAAAGGGUUUCAAAAUUUAUAAUAUUAAUAGUUGAUAAGAGGCGUUUUCUAUUUAACGGCGUAAAGAUAUCCAAAUCAAUUGAAUUUGUUAGAAAAUUCUUUAAACUAUUUAAACAAGAUCUAUACUCUUGAUCUUGAUUACAAGACUCUUCAUCAUUUUUUAAAGAAUAUUCAUUUUCAGUCAUUCAUUUUUCUAUUCACUUGAUGGAUAAAAGAACAAUAUCGAAAGUGCGUGAAAUUUAAUUUCUAGGUAGUUUAAAUGGUUUAGAUCAUGUUUAACGAAACCGAUCGUCAAUUUGGAAGCUCUAUCAUCGAAAACAAAUCGGUAGUAAAAGGCUCGUUUACUAUCGAUAGUAUCCUAGCUCAACUCUAUAUAAUAUAUUAUAUAUAUAUAUAUUAUAUAUAAUAUAUAUAUAUAUAUAGUUAGCUAAAAUACUCUUAAAAAUACCAUGAAGGUGGAUGUUUUUUGAGUUUUUAGCUAUUGGAUGGAGAGAUGUAGGGCUGAAAUGAUGGUGGCAGGUGGUGGUAGGUGAAAUAGUGUUUGAUCCAAAGAUUAUUAGUAAUCAAGGAGUAGAUCCAAGAACUAAAAAUUUAGAAGUACCAAGAGAUUGGUGUUUCUAAAAGUAUUCUAGCUCAAUUAUAUAUAUAUUUAACCCUUGGAUGAAAAAUUGUAGGGUCAGAAUGAUAUUAGUCGGUUAGAGUUGAGUGGUCCCCACUGGGUUAUAGUAUUUAAUCCAAUGGUUAGAAAUAAUGAAAAAAGUUGAUCCAAAGGCUAAAAAACUGGUAGCAACAAUGGGAUUUUGCUACUAAUAGUAGCCGAGUCCAACUCUAUAUAUAUAUAUAUAUAUAUAGAUAAGUCAAGUUCAAAUAACAUAAGUGUAAUAGUGAACAGUAUUACACUCUUUUUGAACCGUUGAUCUAAAUAUAAUCCAAAGAUCGAGGUAAAACAAUGGCAACUUUUUUAAUUUUUAUGUCAAAAUACUCUUCCCUACUCUAUAGGAUGUGACACCACUUUAAUAGCCUUGGAUUUCACAUUAAGUAAUAUUAUGAAACUGUACAUUGUUACACUAAUUUUUUAACUAGUCAUUGAGUUAGAUCAAAUAGCUUAGCAGUUUAGCUAUUUGUCACAUUGCUAUAAUUGGCCUUUGAACUUUACUUUGUUAAUAAUUUCAUAAAAAUUUUAUUUAUUUUGAUGUGAAUUGUUGCAAUCAAUUAAAUUUUGAAUUUUUUAUAAAAUUAAAUUUCAGUGUAUUAAAAUCAAUUGCAACCAUCCAAAAGCAUCGAAAGAAAUAAAAUGUUGAUAAUUUUUAUCUAAAUAUUGUCAGUUUUUAUAUGAAUUAUUUUGCUGUAAAAAAUUUGCUUAUAUUUGAGAUUAUCAACCAAAGUUAUCUCAGUUAGUAAAGAAAAACUGAUUAUACAGUAGGUUUACAAUGGAGGGGAAAAAAAAAGAAAAGAAAAAGGGAGUGAAACCCAAGGCUACUGCAGUCAUUUCAAAUCCUAUGAAGUAGAGAAGAGUAUUUUAGCAAAGAAACAAAAAGUUGCCCAUUGUUUCAUCUCAAUCCUUGAUUUGUACUUAAAUUUACGGUUCAAAAAAAGUGUAAUACUAUUCAUUGUUACACUUAUGUUAUUUGAACUUGACUCUAUAUAUAUAUAUAUAUAUAUUGCAACAUUAUUUCCCACAACUUGACUCCACUUUUCUAUCUAUUUUAAUAUAUAUAUAUAAAAUAUUAUUAAAAUAUUUUAUAAAAGAUCUGAAGGUUCAAUUUCUGCCAUGCAGUUUUAAAAAGAUUUCUGACAAGGGACAAAAGAUAGCCAACUAUCGGCUUGAUUCAAUUUCUUUAAUAAAUAAACUAAGUUAUAAAUAUAAAGCAAAUAACUUUUGAAUUUGGAACCUUCCAAAAGCAAAUAACUUUUUUAACAGAAGGCUAUUUCAUGGGUAACUUGAAGUAAGAAUAAUUCUUCUGCAACAUAGAACUAAAAUUAGUUCAAUCAUAAAAAUUCAGUUUAAUUUUGAAGUGUUCUUUUGGCCAUGGGUGCUUUUAUGGUACUUAUAAUUUUUUAUUUUAAUCAAAAAUAAAAAUUACUUAUAUUUAAUUUAAAUUUGAAUAAAAUAAAAAAUUUGCGAGGCUGAUAUGGGGUGCCAACAAUAAAAGCAUAAUUUAUAGACAGAAAAAAUAUGAAAUAUAUAUUUCACCCCAUCACGGAGGCAGAGCAAGUGGUGGGGCGGGUCUCUUACCCCAAAUCCGUCCCGUCUGCAUUCCUAUUGUUGAACCAACUAUGAAUCCAAAUUUUCUAGCACUUGUAGCUAAUGCCGCAAAUAGGCCAGAUCCGUCCCCUCUGCAGCUGUAAUAUUGAACCAGCAAUGAAUUCGAAGUGUCUGGGAUUUGUAGAUGGGCCCAUGUUCUAAGGCCUAAUUGUAAUGUAUUAAAUUUGAAAUUAGGUCCAUGUUCUAAGGCCCAUUGAAUUGGGCCUAAUGUUAUAGGUUCGGCCACGACACCUUACUAUUAUUACUUGAUGUGAUGGACCAUUUUCUGCAGGAAUGGGGCUUUGAUCCACUCACAUCGCUGUACACCGGUAGUGUAAAGUGUUUUUCUUACAAGCGGUGUAUGUCCAGGAGGUAAAGUAUUUUCCUUACAAGGGAGUGGUUAGAUUUGAACUCGACGGGAAUGUUCAUGUUAGUUCAAGCAAUUCUAUGAUUAUCAAAAGAAUCAAACCAAAAGAUGGGCACCUUAUAUUCACAUGAAUCUUAAAAAUUGAGGAGAUUACAUAGAGGAAUAAGAAAUUCGUACAUUCAAACGUUAAUUGUUACGUAUAAAUGAUGACAAUGGUAUCCAUCGUUUUCCACCUGUUUACGAAGCCUCUAUGUAUCACUGAGCAAAGAGAGCGAAGAAGGAGAAUAUAGAAGUCAACGCAACCGCAAUCGAUCCCGGAAAAGCCCCGGUGGAUCCACUUUCCAUUGCAGGCGCUGGGCUCGGAGCCUCUUGUGCGGUAACUACAGCAAAAGCUAUUGUAAGAAACAUUAGAAGUGCUUUCACUAGAAGCGCGAGAGAAGCCAUUACGGAGAGAGGAGAGACGGAGGUGUGCACGUAGAAAUAUGAGUUGCUGAAGAAGAAGAAGCUAUGUUUGGGUCAUUUUCUUAUUAUGAGUGAUGGUGCAGAGAAGUGAAUUCAGAGAAAAUGUUGCGGAAUAGCCAUUGAGAAAAGUACAGCUUCCCCAGCGUUUGAAUCCCUGCUUUUGUGGAACGCUCGAUCGGGGCGCUGCAGUGGGAAUUUAGCCAUUGAAAUGUUAAAUGCGUGUGCGUCAAUUAUAGAAUAUUGACGUACUAAACUAAUAAUAAAACUCUCAAAAUAACUCUCACAUAUAAAACUUUACGACUCAACACACCUCUUACACAUCCUCACUCUACUACACUAUACCUCACCACAUCACACUACACUUCCUCACACAUCCCACUCACACCACUCACACCUUGCUUCACUACUUCAUCUCACUCUUCACUCUCACAUACACACCUUGGUGUGGAGGCCUCACACCUAUUUAUAGGUCUCCAACCUAUCUACAUAAGCACUCUAGAAUAUUCUAGAGUAUUUGCUUCGAGAACUCACUAAAGUACUCUAUUAAUAAGUAGAGAGUACUAUAUUCCUAGAGUUUUCUAGAGUGCUUCAUUAGCUAGUAGAGAUUUGGAAAGGAAUAAAGCAUUCUGGAAUGUUCUAUUAAAGAGAGAGAGAGUUGCCUCUUUCAUCAAUUAAUGCAAGUGAACAAAAAAAAUGCACCAUGGUAGAAUCUCAAAAACACGAAUUAUUUCAGUAAAAAAUUGGUUUAUAUGAAUUGUGAAAUGAUAAGCUCCAUCUCAGAAACAUAAUAAUUAUUUUAGAUUUGGCUUCUAUGCAAGGAAAAUCGUUACGCUUUUUUUUUUGUUUGCUGAAACAAUAUUUGCAGUGAACCACAGAAAUUGCUACUUGGUUAAAUGGAUCGAAUCGAGAGAAACUUAAAAGUUAACACUAGCAUUAUGCAUUUGGUAAAAUAAUAAAAGAUGUUGUUUUGAGUAACAAAAUUGUACAUAUUUGGAAUGUCUCACUAUCACACUCUCACUACACAAACAAAUUAAUACUAAUGACCGUCCCUAGAACAAGUGGCAAAGGAUUUGGUGGUUGGUACUCGAGAUCCAAGUUUAUUUCUAAAUGAAAUAAAUGAAGCGGGUAGCGUGCUAUCUAUUUCUCAAAAAAAAAAAAAAAAAAACUUUAAAUACGGUACCUUUUCUAUUUUGAAAUGAGCAAUGCUAGUUGUACAAUCGAAAAUUGAUUAUAUUUUUACAACUUUAUUAUUCAAUAGUCUAUAUUUCUUUACUAGUCUUAUUCUCUUCUUGUUUUUAUUACUAAUAUCCAAAAAUAAUUUUGUAAAUUCUAUUCUAUCUCCCAUUUUGGAUUGUGAACUUAGCAUUCUUUUUUGAAAUAAAUCACCACAAAACUCGCUGUUAUGCUAAAUGGAAAUCAAUAUUAUUAAAACUGAUUUUAAUUAAUGUGUGAAUCUCUACGAAUUGAGAAAGUAUGCUAAUGCGUAGAGUAAAUAUAAGAGAGACAAAAUUAUUAUAAUAAAUUGGUAAAGAUCCAUAAAACAAUGAUGCUAAAAAAAAUAUUAGCAAAUUAUUAUUUGCCGAAAUAUAACUUUAGCACGCGUCAUUUGGCACCAUUUAUUAACACACUCAUACAUAUAGCACGUGUCGAUAGUGCAAAAACCAUAGUUUCUAACCAAGAUGCCUAUUUGGCCCACACGUGUAUCUUCACACAUAUGUACGAUUAUAUAAUAAUAAUUAAGCAGUGUGACGCACAUAGAGAUGUCAACAGGUCGGAUUCGGGACGGAUUUUUAAAAAUCCGAACCCAAACCCGACUCCAAACCCGAGAUUCGAUUCCGAAUCCGAACAUGACGGAUUUUAAAAAUUCAUACCCAAACCCGAACCUGACCAAAAAUCCGAAACCCGAAUCCGAACCCGAAUCCGAACCCGAAAAUUUGAAUCCGAAACAUUUAUUUCUUUUUUCAAUAUUUCAAAAUAUAUUAUAUUAAAUAUAAAUUUUUAAAAUACAAAUUCAAAUAUAACAUCAAAUUUUUAUAUAUAUAUUAUAUAUAAUACAAAAUAAAUUUGGGUUCGAGUCGGGUUCGAGUUCGGGUUCAGAUAGGGUCCAAUCAAAAUUCAUAUCCGAAUUCAUAUCCGUUGGGUUUCUAUUUUUUACAUCCAUAUCUGAAUCCAUAUCCAUAUCCAUCGGAUAUAUCCGUUUUAUUCGGGUUCGGAUUCGGAUAAAAUUUCGGAUAUCCACGUACCAGUUUUUAAAAGGUGAUCAAUUGUUUAUUUGGAGUUCAUGUAUGAGUAUAUAAUAAUUAAGCAGUGUGACGCACAUGUACCAAUUUUUAAAUGGUGAUCAAUUGUUUAUUUGGAGUUCAUAGCAAAGAUGAACGUGCACAUGGUCACAUGUCACACAUUUUGCAUAAUGUGCAAAACGAUUACUCAAAGUAGAGAAAGUUUAUUGCAAAAAAAAGGUAACUCACCAAAUAUUUACCUACAUUCAUAAUAUACGGAGAACAAUUCAGUUACAUAGGCAAAGGAGAACCAAACAUGCUCCAAAUGGUAGUCCCAUCCAAGUGCAUCGAACCAAAUGUGCGACUGUCCAAGUGCAUUGAACCAAAUAGAAUUGCUACUUUCGCUUUAAAAUAGUGAAUAAUAAAAGGGCUAAGUUAGGAAGCACAACCCACAUUUCUUGUGGUAAAAAUAAUCAUUGAAAAAUGCCAUUUUAAAAAAAAUUAACAAUUAGAUAACAAAAGUGUCCUACUCGUCAUAUUUUAAUCACAACAACAGCAUACCUAUAAUUAUUUAAAUUCGAGAAAAUUUACCACAACACAAGGUGCAUUCAUAUGUGAGUGAUAUGCAAUGUAUAAAGAACCAAGUUUUAUAUUAAUGUUUGAAUAUUCAAUGCCUAAACAUCAAAUAAUUUAAAAAACUUAUCAUAUUAAAAAGAGCAGUAGUCCGAUGUUUACAUAUAUUUUUAGAUUAGAUAUAUAAAGUAUAUUUUUAAAAAAUUAAUAUUAACAAAUAACAGUGUACACUGUACUGUUCGNAAAAAAGUAGUAGUCCGAUGUUUACAUAUAUUUUUAGAUUAGAUAUAUAAAGUAUAUUUUUAAAAAAUUAAUAUUAACAAAUAACAGUGUACACUGUACUGUUCGUUAGCACGCAUCAAUUUUUACUAAAUAAAGAAGUUAUACCAUUGCCAUACCAUAACUACUCCCGAGGAGCAGUUAAUUAAAACCCGGUUGAUACUUGAUACAGAGCUUACGAAGCGAAUCAGGAUCUUAUUAUUAAAACAGGAAAAAAAAAAAAUUAAAAAGAAAUCGAACCGGCGGCGAGUACCAACCUCGGAGUUCGAGCCAUGGACGACUACGCCGCCGCCGCGGCGAGCAGCAGCGGAAGCGGCGGCGCAGGAGGAGGAGGAGAAGGGCGCCGGCGCAGCUACUGGCGGUGGAGCAAGGCGGACCUGUUCCCGGAGCCGUCGUUCCGGAGCUGGGGCGCGUACGGCGCGGCGGUAUCGGCGACGGCGCCGAGGCUCCGGGAGCGGCUCCUCCACCGGUCGACGUCGGCGGAGGAGCUGGUGGUCCUCCGGCGCGAGAGCGAGCACCCGCUGCGGCGCUGCCUGUCGUGGCUGGACCUGGCCCUGCUGGGCUUCGGCUCCGUGGUGGGCUCCGGCAUCUUCGUGCUGACGGGCCUCGAGGCCCGUGAGGCCGCCGGCCCCGCCAUCCCGCUGUCCUACGCCGCGGCGGGGCUGUCCGCGCUGCUCUCGUCCUUCUGCUACGCGGAGUUCGCGGCGGAGGUGCCGUCGGCGGGGGGGUCCUUCUCCUACCUCCGCAUCGAGCUGGGCGAGUCCGUCGCCUUCCUCGCCGCCGCCAACAUCCUCCUCGAGGCGCUCGUGGGCGCCGCCGGCCUCGCGCGCUCCUGGACCUCCUACUUCGCCGCCCUCAUCGGCCGCGACCCGGACUCCCUCCGCAUCCACGCCCCGGCCCUCGCCGCCGGGUUCGACCGCCUCGACCCCAUCGCCGUCGUCGUCCUCGCCGCCACCUCCUCCCUCGCCGCCGCCGGCGCCCGCCUCACCUCCUCCCUCAACGCCGCCGCCUCCGUCCUCGGCCUCGCCGUCAUCGGCUUCGUCCUCGCCGCGGGGUUCGCGCGCGCCGACCCGGCCAACCUCUCCCCCUUCCUGCCCUUCGGCGCCCAGGGCGUGUUCCGCGCCGCCGCUGUGGUGUUCUGGUCCUACACCGGCUUCGACAUGGUGGCCACCAUGGCCGAGGAGACCCGCGACCCCGCGCGCGACAUCCCGCUCGGCCUCGUGGCCUCCAUGUCGGCCAUCACCGCCGUCUACUGCGCCAUGUCCCUGGCCCUCGUCAUGCUGCAGCGCUACGACCGGCUCGACCCCGACGCCGCCUACGCCGUGGCCUUCGCGAGCGUGGGCAUGGGCUGGGCCCGGUACGUGGUCGCCGCGGGCGCCCUCAAGGGCAUGACGACCGGCCUCCUCGUGGGCGCCCUCGGGCAGGCCCGCUACACCACCCAGAUCGCCCGCGCCCACAUGAUCCCCCCCUUCUUCGCCCUCGUCCACCCCAGGACCCGCACCCCCGUCCACGCCACCAUCCUCGUCACCGCCUGCAGCGCCGGCGUCGCCUUCUUCUCCAGCCUCGACGUCCUGGCCAGCGUCUCCUCCAUCAGCACCCUCUUCAUCUUCAUGCUCCUCGCCCUCGCCCUCCUCGUCCGCCGCUACUACGUCAGGGACGCCACCCCCGCCCCGGCCCUCCGCAAGCUCUCGCUCCUCCUCGCCCUCAUCGUCGGCUCCUCGGUCGCGCUCUCCGCCUACUGGAAUUCGUCCCACUCGGAUCGCUGGGCCGGCUACGCGGUGCUCGUCCCGCUCUGGCUCGCCAGCACGCUCGCCCUCGCGGUGCUCGUGCCGCAGCAGCGGGCGCCCAAGGUGUGGGGCGUGCCGCUCGUGCCGUGGCUGCCGUCCCUCUCCAUAGCGAUGAACCUCUUCUUGAUGGGCUCGCUUGGCUACGCAGCCUACAUUCGGUUCGCCAUUUGCACGGCGGUGAUGGUGGUUUACUACGGGCUAUUUGCGCUCCACGCGACCUACGACAUGGCGCAUCAGGUGGACAAGUUUGCGGAGUCCAAGGACGACGAGGGAGUAGGAGAUGGGGAUCCGGACGUUCUGCCGAGGAACUAGUUACUAGUAGUCAUUGUGGGGAAAUAACUUCUUCUCAGUUACCGCCCACCAUUUUCAUCUGCGUCUGUCUUAUUUUGAAGUGUCAAUUGUGUUAUUAUACUACGCUGUGAUGAUUUAUUGUCGAAAAAUUGAUUAUUCGAAAUAGAAAAUUCUUGUCAUUGUUCUUGAAGAAGAGUACUCUGAUCCUAAUUUGGACUAAUAAAUACUGAAUUAACAGUUGCCUAAGGUUAUUUUUUGUGCGCCCAAGCGAGUACAGAAAAGGUCGGAUCCGUGGUGCGUUCUGUGGUCUGUUUUCCCAAUGAUUAUAAUUGCCUAGAAGAUCUGCUCUAUGUUUUACUUCCUAUCAUAUUAUUCUCAUUAUCUUCUUAUGCAUUCUUGUAUUAAUUUCUAGCCGCAAAUAAAAGGCUUCUAGCUCCUGGACGGCUUAAGAUUUAUUCCUUUUUGAUUUGAAAAUAAUUAAUUAAUCAACUAUUAAGACAAUUGCAGACGUAAGAUGAGACGAGAGAAAGGAAAUUAUGCUUUCGGGAGAUGAGCUCAUGCUGUUGAAGUUUGCUGAUGUACCCGUCUUUGGCACCAUGGUGCUAACGAGGGGAGUUAAAGAGUAUAUAGAAUGAGGGAGGGCUCAAUAAUUAAGUGUGGAAAUCCAAAUUUGAAAUAGUCACUUUCUUAAACUUACUUUCGGGAGAUGCUUUAUGUCUAUACUUGAGCAAUUUUCCUUCUCACACGCUCGCAAAACUUUCAAAUACUAUUCACUUUUGAGACGAGAUCUUCCGUCUACUAUCCUCUUAUUCCUUGUUUCAUCUCUGUAUUUUCAAAGGAGAAAAGAUGCCUCUCAUCUUCAUCCGAAAAGUCGUAAAUGCAUCUUCCGUCCUUCUGUUGCUUUCAUUUGAAUAGUAUACCUCUCAUCUUCAGCUGAAAAGUCGUAACUGUAUCUUCUCUCCUGUUGCUUUCAUUUGAUAAUAAUACAAAGGGAUGGUGGUGCGCCUACAGUCUCAUUUCUUUGACAACAAUUGUCAAAGCCGGAGAUCUUUCCUUCAUUUUUUUAAAAAUUCAUAUAUGAGGGCGAAGAAGAAAAGUUAUCCUAGCGUGCAUCGGCUUCUUCAUUCAAAUUAGUUGUGCGGCUGAGAUUGAGCCUUUUCAGGAAAAAGUUUGCAGCAGUGAUGAUUGGCUGGGAAUGAGCAUUCACUUUUAUUUUGUUAGUUCACUCUUCACCUGAGCAAGAUUUUAAUAAGAAUAAGCUGCUCUGUGAUCAUUGGAUGUUAUUUAAUCCUUUCGGGAGGCUCUCGACUAGUCUUGCCAUUGUUUCUCCUCCUAAUGUAGUGACAUAACCUAAUAUCAAGGAGCUAACUAAUGCUAAAUUCAACUGCAUCAGUUAUUAUACGGUGAAAGAGCUACAAAGGCUUAUUUUAAUGCGUAACAUUUAUGGAGGUUGAUUCUUUAUUUAGCCAUCAAAAUAUAUGUUGAAAGGCAUAAUUCUACAAUCAAAAGAGAGAGAUGUCUAAGAAUUGACUGAAAUAGACGAAGAAUCUCACUAGAAUGCUGAAAAAUCUGAGAGAAAGAACUGAGUCAUGUAUUUGACAGAUUCAUACUUCAAGUUGAAAUGAAAAUACAGCUUAAUAGUCAUCUCUUCAUCAAUUGCUCACUAUCUUUAUGGAAAGCAGCGAAAUAAAAAGACAUUUUGUUUAUGGAUUAUCUUUGAACUAAGCCGUGAAAUAAAACGAAAAGGACGUAAAUAUGCAGUGUUUCAGAGCUCUGCUGAUGCUUUCUCCAUGUCCCCCUUCUUCUCUGCUUGCUUUGUUAACGCCUCAUCAGGGUGUGCAUGGGCCAUAUCAUAAGUUGCAUGGACUCCGAAGAACACAUAGUAGAUCAUCAUUAUUCCCGUGCAGAGACCGAACCUUAUGAAUGCCUGAGAUCCUAAAGAACCCAUGAGGAACAAAUUCGUCGCAAUUGACAGGGACGGUAACCAAGGAACUAAUGGCACUCCCCACACUUUUGGUUUCUGGCACUGCGGCACAAACAAUUGAAUCCCAAGUGUUCCGAGUAUCCAAAGAGGGAUAGUUACCAAGUACCCGAUCCACCCGUGUGGUCUUAAUCCCCAAUAAGCCGAAGUCGCCAUUGAAGAAGCAAUAAUUAUCAGCAGGCAGAUAACCAGCUUUAUCAGAUGAAGGCGAGAGGAGACCCCUCGCGCAUAGUAUCUCCUCACGAGAAGCGCGGUGGCCAUCAUCAUAAAGAUGAAGAGUGUGCUUAUGGAGAGAAGGCUCGCCAAUACGUCGAGGCUUGAGAAAAGGGCAAUACAUGCACUCGCGACGGUAAUAAGAAGAGUGGCAUAAAUAGGCGUUCCGGUUUUCGGGUGGACGAGAGCAAACAAUGGUGGUAUGAUAUGGCUUCUAGCUAUGUGAGUUGUGUACCUAGCUUGCCCCAGGGCUCCGACGAGAAGUACGGUGGUCAUCCCCUUGAGAGCACCAAGCGCGACGAGGUACUGCGCCCACUUCAUGCCCACACUCUUAAAGGCCACAGAGUAAGCUGCGUUUGGAUCGAUGUCGGUAUAUUUCUGCAUCAUGCUUAGUGCAAGGGCCAUGAGGCAAUAUAUUGCCGUAAUUAUCGACAUGGACCCGAGAAGUCCUAAUGGUAUGUCUUUCGAAGGAUUUCUUGUUUCUUCGGCCAUGGUGGCGAUGUUAUCGAAUCCACCAUAAGCGAAGUAGACAAUUGCAGCUGCACGGAAAACACCCUGGACGCCGAAAGGGAGAAAGGGUUUGAGAUUGCUAGUCUUGGCAUGGGCGAAUCCGGCGACGAUAACAAACGCUAUGACCAAGGAGUGGACUGCCGACGCGAUCCAAUUGAAAUAAGAGGUCUUCUUAGUGCUUAUCAUGGCCAUCGUCGAAGUGAUAAUGAGGAUCGCCACUGCGAGGGGGUCUAAGAGAUUGAAGUCCUUGGCGAGGUUCGUGUGGAUUACUAGAGAAUUCGCGGGUAAAUUUAGUAGUGUGGUGAAGUACGAGGUCCAAGACCUUGCCACCGCCGCGGUGCCGAUAAUGCUCUCGAGAAUCAAGUUGGCCGCUGCUAUGAACGCCGCAAAGUCCCCCAGUUCUACUCUCAAAUAUGCGAAUGAGCCCCCUGCCACCGGGAUUUCGACCGCAAACUCGGUGUAGCAGAAGACCGAGAGCAUGGCGGAGAUACCCGACGCGACGUACGAGAGAACUAUGGCCGGUCCGGCAUGGUCGUGGGCUUCUUGUCCUGUCAAGACGAAGAUUCCUGCCCCGAUGACCGAGCCGAACCCGAACCAUGUCAGGUCCCACCAGUUGAGGCAGCGCUUCAUCUCGUUCUCGCUCUGCUCCCUCAGCUUCUUGAGCUCCGUUCCCUCAUCGGACCGGCCGACGAGCCGGUCCAGGAUCCGGUGGCCGGUCUGGCGGAGGGCGGUCCGGUAAUUCGACCAGCUUUCGAAGGACUUCUCCGGGAAGAAGUCCUCUUUCCUACAUCUCCAGUAACUCCUCUGUUCGCAUCCAUCAGCAGCAGCCGCUCCUUCCAUUUUAUGCUUCUAGCAGUAGAGAAGUUGCUUCCGAGCAUUCAAUAAAUAAGCCUGUGGGUGAUAUAAAGAUAGGAAGCUUUUGAAUGAUUUGGAGGUCAGCCUUGGAAACAUAUGCAACCAUUCGAAGAAAACGUUGCCUAUGCUUUCAAAUAAUGAUUGUGAAAGGUUUGGAAUCCAUGACAUUUUGGUGGUUGGUUCCAUACUCUUUGAUGAAGGCUUUUUGUCUCUAUGUCAUAGAUCUUUAUCUCCUCUUUUUUUUUAUGUCGUUGCGGUUGCAGGCCUACGGAAUCUUGCUGAAACUAGGAGACACAGCUGCCCCCUCCAUGUUCCUCCAUAUCCCAUGUGUUUUUUUUUUUUUUUUUUUUUUUUUUUGAGAGAUAGAUAUCACUCUAUCCGCUUCGUUUAUUUUAUUUCGAAAUAAACUUAGCUAUAAGUGUGAUUCAACUAUAAUUCAAACUUGGGUCUCGAGUAUCAACCAAUAAGUUCUUUUGCCACUUGCUUUAGUGACGGCCGGUUGUGUUAAUUUAUUAGUUUCAAGUAAUGUGAACAGGUGAAUCUUAAUCAUUCAGGGCAAAGUACUACUUAUUUAAUAAGACAUUUAUGGAACUUGACUGAUAAUUAUACUUAAUCAUCUUGGAAUUUAUUUGAUUAUUGAAGUUCAUCUAAGUACUCAGAAAACUUAAAUUCUAUUAGCAAUCCUCUUUCCUUUGUUUUUUGUUAAAUGAUCCAGUUUGUGGUGCUUAAUUUGUUUCUCAGUUCAUGAUAGAAUAAGAAAUAUUGUGCCCUGAAGAUACGCCCAUAAGUUGACCAACUUGCAGAUAAGGCCACCAAUUUUUUGGAUUAGAACAUCAACCUGCACAAACUUGUCGUCAUUCUCUUGCCAAGACACCCUUUUUUCAGAAAAAUUUUCCGAAGACACCCUCUUCAUCAAUUACAAAUUUAUUUUUCUCUAAACUUCAGGGACUUGGUCAAAAUAACUUAAAACAUUUAAUUACAUUAUCUUUAAUGCUACACUUCCUUGAAAAUAUCACCUCACAUGAUGCUUUUAUUUAUUUAUUUUUCUGACAUAAUGUUAGGUUUGCUACUUAAAUUAAAGGGAAAACUUCAAAAAACCCCCCUGUGGUUUCGUGCAUUCUCACUUUGCUACCCUGUGGUUUAAAACGUAUCAAUUUACCCCCCUGUGGUUUCAUUUUUAUUUUUUCGGAAGCUUUUUCGUUAAUAUUUCGUUAAAUUAUAUACAAAAAACUUCAGAUAACCAUCUAUAUUUAUCGAAUAGUCACUUUAGUAUCCCUUAAUUUUAACUUUGUCACUGAUUUUAAAAAAUAAUAAUAAUAAAAUUGAUAACAAAAAGAUAAAAACAAAACCACAGGGGGGCAAAUUGAUACGUUUUAAACCACAGGGUAGCAAAGUGAGAAUGCACGAAACCACAGGGGGGGUUUUUGAAGUUUUUCCUAAAUUAAAUGACUAAUUUAUCUCGGAGUUAAAAGUUGUUAAAUCAGUGAAGUCAUUGUUAUUCAAUCAAAGUGUAAGAGGCUAUGAUAGACUUAUUACGAAGCCCGACCAAUCAAGUUAAUUUAGAUAGAAAAAAUUGGGAAUUUCUCCCAUUUAUUGAUAACUUUGUUAAAUUUAAUAAUUUUAAUCAAUUUUAGCAAUGAAAAACAAGAUAAUGUAUAGUUAAUAAAUUAUAGAACCAUUUGAAUUUGAUAAAAUUUUUAACAAAGCUAAGUAUUAAAAACUCACAUUGAAAAGUUUAGCAGCUGUGGAAACUACCAAGCUGGAGUACGACAGGGUACGUUCACAUAUUAAAGUGAAGUAUGGUACUUUUUUUUUUUUUUUAAUUUAAAGUCUAUUGAUGUUUCAAAAGUAUCUUUUCGGGAGUCCUAGAGAGGAAGUUGCGAUUUGGGUUGAUGUAUAGGGGCCUCAAUGAGGAAAAAAAAAAAAAAAAAGGGUAAAUUGCACUACAAGUACUGAACUCUGUGAACUUUUAGUCUGGUCUUAUUUUAGUCCUCAAACUAUUCAUUUAAAUUAGACAUUCGAGUCCUCCAAACUUUUGGAUUGUUUAGCUAAAUCCCUAUGGCUUCGUUUGGUUCGGGUAUAAAUAAAAACUAUUUAUUUCAGAGAUAGGUAUAAGUCUAAAUAUAAGCGAGAAUUACACCAAUUUUAUAUUUAGAUAAAAAUUAAAUUGUUCUCGAGAAUAGAAAAAUUAGUGUUUGGAUAUAUAAAAUGGAACAAGAAGAAUAAUAGAUAGUUAUAAAUAGAAAAUAAUAAUAUUAUACCUCUCAUUAUAUUUAAAUUUAAAUUUUUAAAUUUUAUAUUUAUAAUUUAAAAUUUAAAAUUUUAACUUUUAAAUUUUAAAANAAAUUUAAAAUUUUAAAAUAUUAAAUUUAAAAUUUAAAAUUUUAAAAUAUUAAAUUUAAAAUUUAAAAUUUUAAAAUAUUAAAUUUAAAAUUUAAAAUUUUAAAAUAUUAAAUUUAAAAUUUAAAAUUUUAAAAUAUUAAAUUUAAAAUUUAAAAUUUUAAAAUAUUAAAUUUAAAAAUUUAAAUUAUAAUUUAUAACAAAAAUCUCUCUUUCUCUCCCCCUCCCCCUCUCUCUCUCUCUCUCUCUCUCUCUCUCUCUCUCUCUCUCUCUCUCUCUCUCUGUAGCAGCGGGGGUGGAUGGAAACAAGCUUGGUGGGAACAAGCUUGUUUCCAUCCUGGGUGGGAACUAUUAUGUUCCCAAUCCAAAAACUAUCUAUAGAUCGAAAAGCUACAAUUUCAUGGAUAGUAGGAUUCAAAUGCCAAAAAGGAGAUCAAUGAUUGGUGGAUACUUGGUAUACAAACGUUGAGAUAAACCGGGUGUAGCCAAUAUUUCUUCUUCCUAUAAAUAAGGAUUCUAGGAUAGGGAUUAAAUGAAAUAUUUAAAAAGUGUAAGGUCUCAAAUAUUAAACUCAAAAAAGUUUAAAGACUAAAAAUGACACUUAUACGAAAGUUCAGACACUAUUAACGGUGCAAUUUACUUUAACAAUGUAAUUAAAAGUUGAGAGAAAUGUUUUUGAAAUGGCCUACAAUUUAUCUGAAAAUCUAUAAAAACCUAUAAAAAUCGUAAGCGUGACAUUGAUCUCGACACCGAAGCCACAAGAACACUCAAAACUGUUACUCAGAAAAUCGCUCUCCAAAUUCGAGCUGCAAAAAUGAGCAGCGUUCGCCUCCCUCAACCCACUUCUCUUCCCACCCGAACCCCCGCCAUUGCUCCUCCCACCACCACCCAGCCGAGCUCUCCACCUCUCCUCCUCAAAACCCUAACCCAUGGCCAACGCCGAACCCACUGGGCCUCGACAAUCCGUCACCAUUUCCGUAACAAUGACCACCGCAGUUGCAUCGCUUCCUACCACCAUAUGCUCGACGAGAACAUCGCGCCGAACCCCAAAACCCUAGCCCUCGUUCUCAAAGCUUGCGCCUCUUUACGUGACCUCAGAGCCCUGAGACUCCUACACAACGACGCCCUGCGCUUUAAAUUCGACUCUAAUGCUCCUGUGGCCGCAGCGCUUCUUGAUGGGUACUUCGCGUGCGGGUCGCCUGCGUUGGCCCACCAACUGUUCGAUAGAAUGCUUCACAGAGAUGUCGUUUCUUGGACCGUCGUUAUUUCACGCAGUUACAAAGAUGGGCUCUUUGAUAAGGCGGUGCGCUGCUUUAAGGCAAUGGUGGAAGAGGGCGUGGCUCCGGAUGAGGUCGCGCUGAUUAGCAUAUUGUCGGCGGUGACUUGUUCGGGUUGGUUGUGUUACGGUCAUGAAGUCCAUGCGUAUUUGAUUCGGAAUUGCUUCAAAUAUGGCAAAGCUCUGGCCACUAACAUCGUAAACAUGUAUUGUAAGCUUGGGAGAAUCAAGUACGCCGACAGGAUUGUGCAAACGGAUGCUCGGGACGAUGUAGGAGCAUGGACUGCGCUCAUGGCGGGCUAUAUUGCGUCGAGCGACUUGUACCCUGCAUUGCUUGUAUAUCAGAAGAUGACAAAUUUGGGAAUUGAGCCUUCGGAAAAAACCAUCAGUUGUGCUCUAAGAGCUGUUUCCCAUCUGGGUUCCCUUUCUCUUGGGUGUCAGAUACAUGGUUUCGUAGUAAAGCAACAGUUUGAAUUAGACAAUCACAUAGUAAGCAGUUUAAUUGACAUGUACAGUGUGUGCGGGGCUCCCGCUCGGUUGUGUCGCCAGAUGUUCGAUGAAAUGCCCAUGAGAGAUGUGGUUUCAUGGACUACCAUGAUAUUGGCCUAUAGCCGGUCCGGAGAGGGACAUGCUGCAGUUCAAUUAUUCAAUGAAAUGCGAAUGUCCGGCGUUCCACCUGACUCUGUUGCAUUCAUUGCUGUUCUCUCCGGUUGUAGCUCAUCGGGCUUGCUAUGUGAAGGAUUUAUGCUCUUCAAUUCGAUGGUUCUAGAUUACGGAAUAGAACCGACGGAGGAACACUUUGCUUGCCUGAGAAACUUGAUAACCAAGGAUGGGAAGUUAAAAGAAGCAUAUGAAGCAAUUGAAGAAAUGGGCAUUAAAGAUAAGAGCAGCAUUUGGCAAGCUUUCUUAGGGGCUUGCAGACUUCAUGGAAAUGUGAGUUUUCGCGAAAUUGCUGAAAGAAAACUGCUGAAUAUGGAUCAAGGUGAUGGUUCAGCAUGAUGAUUUUUUUUAUUUUUACACGUGAAAAAAAAUUAUUUGCUAUAACUAUUUUUUCCUUUUAAAUGUGUAUAGAGAAAUACACGAACUUAACAAUUCAAUGUUGUCUUAUAACAUUCCAUCAGUGUUCAGAUGCAUGUGAUGGUAUUUUCUCCCUUCUCUUGCCUAAGUUUAAAACACUGAGAGCUGUGCUUUAUUGCUCAAGUUUCUACUUCUCUCUGGGCGUAAAAUAAGCAAUUAUUUCGCUACUGGAGAAUUUUAUUCCAUAAAAUUGAUAAUAUUUUAUGUGUCGGUCCUAUCUCUUUGCAUUGUCAAAGUUAGUGUUUUGUUUGGUCGCACGAAAAUUUUAAUUAGCAUAUCUUUUUGAUUUUAGUUAAAAAGCUUAAUAGUAUUUGAUAGACGAGGAAUACAAUAAAAUGUUUCGAGUUGAUAUUAUGUUUGAUUUUGAAGUCAUAUUUUCCGAAUAAGAUAGGUUAAUACGGCGUCCUAUCAAAUUAUAAAUAUUAUUAUUUUUUAAGAAAAAAAAUUAAACUCCUAAUUUUCAAUCAUAUAAAAAAAUAUAUAUAUACUGAAUAAAUUAUUAUUAAAUAUUUUAUUCUGAUAUCCAAUACAGCAUCUCAAUAAAACAGACCUAUAUAGCUUGUUAGACGACUAAUGACUAAGCCUCAACUAGUCCGACUCUUUUUUAGCAAGUUGGGUCCGGCUUAGGUCAGUUUGUCAGUUGUAACUACGUUUAAAUUUAAAAAUCUUAUUUAGCUCCACAUAGUUGCAUCUACCUAUAUGUUGUAGUUGGAUUAAAGAUCCAAUUGCAUCUCGAAAAAGUCACACAAGUGGAAAAGAGUAAUUUGGUAAGGGAUAGCUUUAUCUAUCUACUCAUAUAUUAAAAUUAAAAAGGAAUAAAUUUUUAAUUCUUAGGUAAUCUUAUCAUACCAUGUGUAAGAUAAUAAAAUUUGUUUCUCUCAAAAAAAAAAAAAAGAUAAUAAAAUUUGUGGAUGCAAUUUUCAACCAUGAGCAAUCAAGUAAAAAAGUUAUAGUUAUAUUACUGUUAAUUACAUACUGUCAAACGGAUUAGCUGUAAAUAUGCAAAGUAUAUGUCUAACUAUAUGCAUUUCUAAUAAUAUGAUAUUUAUAAUUUCAUGAGAUCAAGCAAUCUCUUCAAUCAAAACUUUCAACUGAGAAAGGACUCGAAGUAGACAAUAAAAUUGGCUUAUGAGAUAAUUUCAAGGGUUAAUAAAUUUAGGGUGCAUAAAUAAAACAAGUAUCCUAUCUUGUUUGUCCUCCCAUUGGAUUUAGGGCUAGCAAUCCAACUCGUUGUUCGCGAGACAGUUUGUGUUCGUGUGAAAUUUUUUUCAACUCUUUCCGAAAUCAAAAUAGACUCCUGCCGUACCCUGCCUCCCUAGUGGAGUCAUUUUAGCCCCUUUUUUUUAAGCUCACACUUCCUUUGAUGUUCUGAAUUGGGUAUCAAUUUUGCAUUCGGAAGAAAAUUAGGUUAUUUCCGGAAAUAAAAAAAAUAACGACCUGAACCUUCACUGGCUGACGUGCCUACUC
rnacentral:lncRNA from 1 species